rnacentral:rRNA from 1 species
CAUCCAGAGAACUUAGCAGAGAUGCUUUUGGUGCCUUCGGGAACUCUGAGACAGGUGCUGCAUGGCUGUCGUCAGCUCGUGUUGUGAAAUGUUUGGGUUAAGUCCCCGNAACGAGCGCAACCCUUAUCCUUUGUUGCCAGCGGCUCGGCCGGGAACUCAAAGGAGACUGCCGGUGAUAAACCGGAGGAAGGUGGGGAUGACGUCAAGUCAUCAUGGCCCUUACGGCCAGGGCUACACACGUGCUACAAUGGCGCAUACAAAGAGAAGCGACCUCGCGAGAGCAAGCGGACCUCAUAAAGUGCGUCGUAGUCCGGAUUGGAGUCUGCAACUCGACUCCAUGAAGUCGGAAUCGCUAGUAAUCGUAGACCAGAAUGCUACGGUGAAUACGUUCCCGGGCCUUGUACACACCGCCCGUCACACCAUGGGAGUGGGUUGCAAAAGAAGUAGGUAGCUUAACCUUCGGGAGGGCGCUUACCACUUUGUGAUUCAUGACUGGGGUGAAGUCGUAACAAGGUAAGCGUAGUGCU